GGAGGAGGAGGAGGAGGAGGAAGAAAAGGACUGUGAGGUCUUUGUUGCUCUCUAGCUUGGUGGUUUUCUUGCAGACAUUUCAUUACCAAACUAGGUAACAUUAUCA